GUGCAUGGAAUAAUCCUAAUCGUCCAUAAUGCCAAAUUUGUGGCAAGUUAGGACAUGUUGCCAGUUACUGUUAUUUUCGAUUUGAUCAACAAUUCCAGCAUGCCCAACAAAAUUCAGGUUCAUCCUCCAUGCACAAUGCCCUACCUCCACCUCCCUCCUUUCAUAACCCCAGAGCAUUGCUAGCUACACCCAUUACUAUGGCUGACCCUUCAUAGUAUGUUGAUUCUGGAGCUUCUCAUCACUGUACUCCAGGUCAGUCCAACUUACAGCAAUCACAAGAAUACCAUGGUCAAGAUCAGGUGUAUAUAAGUAAUGGUUCAGGCUACCAAGGAGGUGCUUCUCCAAGGAACAACAACUAAUGGCAUGUAUAGAUUUCAAAAAGUUUAUAUUCUAAAAAUAAAAACAGAUUGUAGUCAGUUUAAUUCUCAUGUUCUUAUAGCUAAACUUUAUCUCUAGAUAUGUAUCACAAGAGAUUUGGUCACCCAACAAUGCAAAUUGUAAAAUCCAUUAUAGCAAGUUAUUCACUACCUAUUAAUAAUAAUGAAUCUAAUACUGUUAUGUGUGAUU